rnacentral:tRNA from 1 species
AGGGCCGUCGCCAAGCGGUAAGGCACCAGGUUUUGAUCCUGGCAUUCGUUGGUUCGAAUCCAGCCGGCCCAGCCA